rnacentral:rRNA from 1 species
AGUGAACGCUGGCGGUAGGCCUAACACAUGCAAGUCGAACGGCAGCACAGUAAGAGCUUGCUCUUACGGGUGGCGAGUGGCGGACGGGUGAGGAAUACAUCGGAAUCUACUUUUUCGUGGGGGAUAACGUAGGGAAACUUACGCUAAUACCGCAUACGACCUACGGGUGAAAGCAGGGGAUCUUCGGACCUUGCGCGUAUGAAUGAGCCGAUGUCGGAUUAGCUAGUUGGCGGGGUAAAGGCCCACCCAGGCGACGAUCCGUAGCUCGUCUGAGAGGAUGAUCAGCCACCCUGGAACUGAGACACGGUCCAGACUCCUACGGAAGGCAGCAGUGGGGAAUAUUGGACAAUGGGCGCAAGCCUGAUCCAACCAUACCGCGUGGGUGAAGAAGGCCUUCGGGUUGUAAAGCCCUUUUGUUGGGAAAGAAAAGCAGCAGGUUAAUACCCCGCUGUUCUGACGGUACCCAAAGAAUAAGCACCGGCUAACUUCGUG